rnacentral:rRNA from 1 species
AUGGGGGAGACGGAUUUGGAGGACGUGGUGCUCUCCUGGUCGCUCCAGGAGAUCAACGACGACGACCUCUACAGGGGGAAGGUUGAGACUAUUCCCUGCAACUUCAAGUCACUUGAUCACUAUCUUGCAUCGUACCGUGUGCCUCUGAUUGAAGAAACAAGGUCAGAUCUGUGCUCAUGCCUUGAACUCAUCAGUCAAGCACCCUCGUCGAAAAUACUUUCCAUGGAGGUAGCAGGAAAGUCGGGAUCAUACUUUAUGGAUGUGGACUUUUGGGACAAUGAUGCUGGUUUCUCUACUGGGGCUUAUUCUGCCAGGAAUGGUGACAUCUUUAUUUUGUCUAGCAUAAAACCUGAAGCUGCAGAGGACUUAAACCGCCAUGGUGUCACACAUUGCUUCGCAAUGGUUACUGAGGUUUCUAUGGAUGAUGAAUACCAGAAGGGCUUCAGAGUCAAAGUUGAAAAGAAUAUUGAUUUGGAAGAAGACUUGAACAAACUCAAACAUGCAAUAUUUCUCAAUAAUAUCACCACAAACAUACGUAUAUGGAAAGCACUUACCUUUGAUGCACACAUGAAUGACAAUUUCACAAUAAUCAAGUCGCUCUUAGCCCCCCAAAAUCUGGGUGAGGAUAUUUGCGGUAUGUGUGCUAAGCAGGAUGGGGGCCCUUUGGCUUCUUUCACAGAGCAAUUGCUGUCGGUUAUGCUUAAUCAAUCACAAGUGGAUGCUAUUGAAUCUGUCAUCUCAGCUGUACAAUGUGGGCAUGUGAACCUCAUGAAGCUUAUAUGGGGUCCACCAGGCACUGGAAAAACCAAGACGGUUAGCGCUUUACUGUGGGUCUUGGCGUGUUUGAAAUGCAGAACUCUUACUUGUGGUCCCACAAAUGUUGCUGUUGUUGGAGUUUGCACUCGUUUCCUUGAAAACUUGAAGGAUUUCAGUGAGCACACUGACAAUAUUGGUCUACCUUUUUCUCUUGGAGAUAUUUUGUUAUUUGGAAGCUGGUCUAACAUGGACAUCACAGAGGAUCUUCAGGAAGUUUUCUUAGAUUUUCGUGUCAAUGAACUUGUGGAAUGCUUUUCAUCGUCGUCUGGAUGGAACUACAGAAUAGCUUCAAUGAUAUCCUUUUUUGAAGACUCUGCUUCACGGUAUGAUAUGCUUCUUGAGGAUGAUGGCAAAAUUGAUCCAGUGUGCUUUUUGGACUUUGUAAAGAAGCAAUUUGACGUGAUAGCAGUAGCUCUGAAAAGAUGCAUCAUGAAUUUGUGGGUUCACCUUCCUGGGAGGUGCUUUUCUCGUGACAGUGCCAUAAAUAUAUCUACAUUGCUUCAUAUGCUGGAAAAAUUUGGUGCUCUUCUGUGCAACGUAGACUUGACUGAUGAGGGCUUAAAAAGGGGACUUGGUUGCCUGUCAACUGAAAACUCUGUUUGUGCACAACCUAUGUCUUCUAUUGAAAAGGAACUGGAUGGAGCAAGGUCUUCAUGCCUUAAAUUGCUAAAGGAUCUGCUACACUCGCUUAAUUUACCCACUGGAGUAAACAAAAACUGGGUCCAGACCUACUGCAUACGUAAUGCAACACUUCUUUUCUGUACUACCUCUAGCUCUUAUCGGUUACAUCACAUGGAGAUUGCACCCCUCGAAGUAUUAAUUGUUGAUGAGGCUGCUCAAGUGCGGGAGUGUGAAUUGGUGAUCCCACUACGUCUGCAUAGGUUAAAACAUGUUGUUUUGGUAGGAGAUGACUGCCAGCUGAGUGCAAUGGUUAAAAGCAAAGUAUGCAAAGAAGCUGGAUUUGCGACAAGUUUAUUUGGGAGAUUGGUUGUGCUCAAAUUUGAUAAGCAUUUGCUGAAUAUACAGUAUCGCAUGAAUCCUUGUAUCAGCUUAUUUCCAAAUGCUCAGUUUUAUGAGAGGAAGAUUUUAGAUGGUCCCAAUGUCCUGUCUCCUAGUUAUAAUAAGGAUUACACAUGCCUCCCUUUUGGGAGCUACACGUUUAUAAAUCUCACUGAUGGAAGGGAAGACACAGAGGGCAUGGGAAACAGUCGCAGAAACAUGGUUGAAGUUGCUGUUGUUUUGCACCUAAUCCAUACCAUCUUUAAAUUUUUUUCUGCAGCUUGGAAAAGGACAGACCAAGGGCUCAACAUCGGUGUGGUCUCUCCAUAUAACGCUCAAGUUGAUGCAAUUAAAAAUCGACUUGGCCAAAAAUAUGAUACAUGUGAUGGCUUUCAUGUGCGAGUGAAGUCCAUUGAUGGUUUCCAGGGAGAAGAGGAUGAUAUAAUAAUACUAUCAACUGUUAGAUCCAGCGGGAGAGGAGUUGUUGGAUUUCUUGCUGAUAAUCGAAGAACAAAUGUUGCUCUUACUAGAGCAAGGCACUGUCUUUGGAUUGUUGGGAAUGCUCAUACACUUAAUAAAAGUGGGACUGAAUGGACAGACCUUGUUGCUGAUGCGGAGAGACGUAAAUGUAUUUUCAGUGCCACUAAUGACGCAACCAUCUGUAAGUUGGUUUUGCAACUAAAACAAGAGCUUGAUGAACUUGAGGAUCUUCUUAGUGCUGAUUCAGCGGUUUUCAGCAAUACCAGAUGGAAGGUCAUUCUUAGCGACGAGUUUAGAAAGUCUUUCACCAAACUAAAAUCACCACAGCUCAGGAAGGAAGUACUCCAAAAGCUUAUCAAACUUGGAGAUGGUUGGAGGACAACAGUCAAGAACCUUGAUAUGCCUGGUGUUUCUCAUCUUGUAAAAGUAUACAAGGUCUGGGACUUGUAUCUUGUUUGGAGUACUGACAUUGAGAAAACUGAAAGAACGUAUUCCCAGAUAAUAAGAAUUUGGGACCUACUGUCACAGCAAAAUGUUGCAAGGACUGUUCAACGCCUCGAGAAUCUAUUCUCCAUGUACACGGAUGAUUACCUGGAUCAUUGCAGGAGAGUGCAGGCACAAGGGAAACUGGAGGUUCCUAUGGUUUGGGAUAUUGUGCAUGAUAUUAUCCGCUAUAACAAGGAUUGCAAAGCUGAUGCUCAUGAAGAGCAUGAUCCCGUGGAUACAUCAUAUGGCAUGGAGAAUUCAAAAGUUAGUGAAAGCUUCCUGCUGAUGAAAUUCUACUCUUUAUCAUCUGGAAUGGCAAAGCAUUUGCUGACAGCUACUGAUGGGUCUGAAAUCGACGUCCCCUUUGAGCUGACGGAUGAAGAGAAGGUGAUAAUCCAAUUCCCGCUCACUAGUUUUAUACUUGGGAGGUCAGGCACUGGAAAAACCACUGUACUGACAAUGAAACUGAUUCAAAACGAGCAACAGUCAUUGAUUGCAUCCCAAGGUUUAAAUUUGGAUGGAGCUGAUUUAUCAGGGGUAGAUGACAAUAAUAUUAUGUCAACAAAGAAUGGAGGAGAAAGUUCUGUGAAACAAGUAUUUAUCACUGUAAGCCCAAAGCUAUGUUCAGCCAUAAAAGAUCACAUCUGCAGACUUAAAAGAUUUGGCACCGGUGAUGUCUCUGACCAGUCUAGCAUUCUUCACAUGCAUGACAUCAUGGAUGACCUGGAAGAGUUUACAGAAAUUCCUGACAGUUUUUGUGAUCUACCUCACGGGCACUAUCCUCUUACUAUAACAUACCGUAAGUUUUUGAUGAUGCUUGAUGGAACAUGCCAGACAUCUUUUUUUGAUGCGUUUUAUGGUGAAAUGAAGUCUAGCUUUGAGAGAGGCCAUUCAAGAUCUCGUGCAGUGCAUACUUUUAUUGAAUUGAAGGAAGUUACCUAUGAAAAAUUUGCUACUUCCUACUGGCCUCGUUUUAAUGCAGACCUGACAAAAAAAAUUGCUGCGUCCACUGUCUUCACUGAAAUAAUUUCUCAUAUAAAGGGCGCAUAUCAAGCAAGCAGGCCUUAUACUGGGAAACUGGACAGACAAGAUUAUGUGAUGCUCGCUGAUAAAAGAAUUUCAUCUUUGAACAAUGAGAUGAGAGAUAGAAUUUAUGAUAUAUUCCUUGAAUAUGAGAGUAUGAAAUGCACUGCCAGGGAGUUUGAUUUGUCAGAUUUCGUAAAUAGUCUUCACAGCAGUCUUGUAUCUGAGGGCUACAAUGGAGAUAUGGUGGAUUUUGUUUACAUAGAUGAGGUGCAGGAUCUCACCAUGACACAAAUAGCACUUCUUAAGUAUGUCUGUAUGAACAUCAAGGAAGGCUUCCUUUUUGCUGGUGACACUGCACAGACUAUAGCAAGGGGUAUAGAUUUCAGGUUUGAAGAUAUCCGUUCACUUUUUUAUACUGCAUUCCUCGCAGAAACUGAAGCGUCUAAUGAAGGACUUAAACAUGGGAAAAGAGUCCAUCUCUCAGAUAUGUUCCAACUAUCACAGAAUUUCCGCACACAUUGUGGCAUCCUCCGUAUGGCACAAAGUAUCAUGAGCCUUCUGUACUUCUUUUUCCCGUCAAGUGUUGACAAGCUUAAUCCAGAGACUGGACUUGUACAUGGAGAAGCUCCUGUGCUGCUGGAGUCUGAUAAUGAUGAGAAUGCAAUUAUGACCAUUUUUGGAGAAAGCAAAAGUAAACAUGGUAACCUGCAUGGGUUUGGUGCUGAGCAAGUCAUAUUAGUUCGUGAUGAUGCUACCAAAAAACAAAUUACUGAUCUUGUUGGUAAACAAGCUCUUGUUUUGACUAUUGUUGAAUGUAAGGGCCUUGAGUUUCAGGAUGUGCUGUUGUACAACUUCUUUGGUUCGUCGCCUUUAAGAAACAAAUGGAGAGUUCUCUACGGCUACAUGGAAGAUAAAGAUAUUAUAGCACACUCGGAGCAGAUCUCUCAUCCUGGUUUUGACAGAAGCAAGCAUUAUCUUCUCUGUUCAGAGCUGAAGCAACUCUAUGUUGCAAUCACACGCACUAGGCAAAGACUCUGGAUAAGUGAAAAUACAGAUGAUUACUGUCGACCAAUGUUUGACUACUGGAAGAAGUUGUGUAUUGUAGAAGUUAGAUCACUUGAUUCUACCCUCAUUCAGGCAAUGCAGACAGGGAGCAGCAGUGAUGAUUGGAGGCUACGGGGAACCAAGUUAUUCAAUGAGGGGCAAUUCGAAAUGGCUACUAUGUGUUUCGAAAAGGCCGGUGAUGCACACAGAGAGAAGUGGGCAAGAGCUGCUGGACUUGUAGCGACCGCUGACCUUGUCAUCUCAAAAAAUUUGGAGUUGGGCAAGGCUUCAUUGGAAACAGCAUCAGAAAUUUACGAGUCCAUAGGCAUGCAUGAGAAAGCUGCUACUUGCUAUAUCAAAUUAGGUGACUACAAAAAAGCAGGUAUGGUCUAUACGCAAAAAUGUGGUAUUUCUAGACUUGAGGAAGCUGGUGACUGUUUUGCUAGGGCUGAAUGCUGGUCGGAGGCAGCUGAAAUGUUUUUGAAAGCUAAAUGUUACACCAAGUGUUUCUCCAUGUGCUCAAAAGGAAAACAAUUAUACAAUCUGGGCUUGCAGUUUCUGCAACAGUUAGAGGAGGAACAUUCACUUGAGAAUUCAAAAUCCUUGGAGGUUUCUGCAAUCAGAACGAAGUAUCUGGAUAAUUGUGCUCAACAUUAUUUUGAGCGUGGUGACAUAAAGAAUAUGAUGCCCUUUGUUAAAGCUUUCAGCUCUAUGGAUCAUGUACGGGUGUUCCUAAAUUCUAGAAAUCUUAUUGAUGAACUGUUGAGUUUAGAGAUGGAAAUGGGUAAUUUCCUAGAAGCUGCAGGAAUAGCAAAGCAUAAAGGAGAUGUCUUACUGGAGGUAGACAUACUCGAGAAGGCAGAUUUGUUUGAGGAUGCAACACGGCUUCUCCUCCUCCAUAUCAUUGUGGGUUCCUUGUGGUCUUCAAAUAGUAGAGGGUGGCCUCCCAAAAGAUAUGCAGAGAAGGCACAGUUUCUUGCAAAAGCCAAAGAGUUGGCAAAAAAGGUCUCUGAGUGCUUCUACUGCUUUGUUUGCGUGGAAGCUGAUGCACUGUCGGAUGUGAAUAAGUCUCUUUCCAGUUUGAAUUGCACUUUGCUUGAGGGCAGAAAAUGUGCAAACUUGUUAGUUGAACUUGUUGCUUCCCGUUCGAUCCUUGAUGUUCAUCUGCAGUCUCGAGCCUCUGGAUACAAGAUAGAAUUAGGGCCAGGAUCUGAAGAUGAAAAUAGCUGUAAUGAUAUGCUGGCCUCUAACCAGAUGUCACCCCAAACUCUGUUUUAUGCCUGGAAUCACUGGAAGUCGAUCAUAAUCAAAGUACUAUCUCAUCUUUGCCACACCGAUGGUCCAGAAUUAAAUGACUAUGCAGUUGUGUAUGAAGAUCUUUUUGCCAAGUACUUCGGAUUGAGAAAAGAUGGUGAAGGUGACAGAUAUGUGGUGCUGAACAUGAAUGCAAGUUGGCUUUCUAACGCUGGCAGGAAUUCUUUGCAGCAAGACGGCAACAGAUGUUUAUUGGGUGCCUCCGAGUGUCAUUCAUGUGCUCAGUGUUUCUGGAUGAAUGAGCUGUCUUCUGUUGGUUUCAGUGUACUUAAGAAGUUGGAGUCAAUUGUUCAAAUUUCUCCAAAGCCGGCAUCUUGGUAUACCCUGGUGAGAACUGUCCUUAUCAUACAUGAGAUAGCUAAGUUUUUGGAAGAACCACAGUUCAGCAUGCCAAAAGGUUCCAUGAAGUUAAGAAGCUUUUUUGUUCUCUGUGGGCGUCGAUUCUUUGAACUAGUUUUUCUUGUGUGGAGAGAUGGGACAAAGGGGAGCCUCUCGCGUGUACUUGACUCACCAGCUGCAUAUGGAUUGAUUGCUGAUUCUCUUAGUGCAAAUCUUCGCCCAGCAAAUAAAAAAUUGACUUAUGGGCAUCUUGGGAGAACAACCAUGCUUCUGCUUCAUGCAGCACAAUUGGAUGAAGCGCUACUUUCAAGACUAUUACAGUACCUGGGCAAUAAUUCUGAGUGGGCAGGGUUUUUCCGAUAUUUCAAGAGAUUUCUUGACAGUGGUCGUGAUAGAUCCUCCUUGAUCUUCAACUUUAAGCUUGCUCUUGAGUUUACCUUAAGUGUGAAGUGGAAGGAUGAACUAGACUACAUAUCCCCAGGAUGCUAUGUGGGUCUUAUGGAGUGCCUUGGUUUCUUGGCUUCAUCAUGCUUAUUAGUACAGAAUGAUUUUAUGUGCUGCACGAAAUCUCUGUUGGUCAAUAUGCUGGAGUGCCGUACCAGCAAGGCUUUCAUUGACACCUGCCAGGUAUCUAAGUCAAGCCCAGAUUCUGAUCUUCAUGGUUUGGCACACUUAUCAGGCCGUUUCAUAUACGAGACAAUUAUUACUAUCUUGACGACCAAGCAUAUGCUCCAGGAAUGGGUAGAUAAGACUUCAUGUCCUUCCAGUACUUCAUACAGAGCAGUCCUCCUGAGACUAGUUGUUACACUUUAUCCUCUGAUCCUUACUCUUUCUCUGGGGAAGUGCUAUGAGGUCACACGUAACCUUGUGAGGAAUGAAGUCUUCAAGGAUUUACCUUUGGAGUUCUCUAAGAAGAUUCAGGAUGCUUUGAAAAUGAGGUCUCACACACCGAGCAACUUCAUAAGAGUGCUUGCUGAUGCACUUGCCUCAAUCGGAGAUCAUAUGGUAGUUAUUGGCUCACCCAAAAGCCCAGUAAUAUGUCGAAACCUGAAAACCUAUAUGAUAAGCAAGGAGGAUUUGCAUGAUGUUCCGAAGAUAAUGGCUCUUCUGCGUCUUGAAGAACCAAGUUCUGUGAAGCAAGAGACUCCAUUGCCAGAAAAAUCUGAUGGUAGCAAGCGUCCUGAAGAACCAAGUUCUGUGAAGCAAGAGACUCCAUUGCCAGAAAAAUCUGAUGGUAGCAAGCGUCCUGAGGAACCAAGUUCUGUAAAGCAAGAGAUUCCAUUGCCAGAAAAUUCUAAUGGUAGCAAGUUAAAAAAUGUUAUUUCUGGAAACAUUCCUGUGAAUGUAGAGUUAGUAAAGAUAGGAAUCAGUUCGAGAAAGAAAAAAUCAACUGGUGUCCUUGUGCCUGUAGAGGUAUUAAAGGUAGAGGGUUCGAGAAAGACAGAUUCAACUGGUAUCUUUGACACUCUCUGGAAGAAGCUUGAUACUUUUCUACGCGAUGAGCAAGGCCAGAAAGAUGCAAGGGUUGUCAUUCAAUUUCUUAGAGAUGCCCUUCCAUGGCUGGAAACAGGCGUUCUAGCAUUGGUUGAUAAAGAGCUUGAUGAACACUAUCUGGAAGAGAUCAAGCACAUCUGCAGUGAGUUCGAAAAACUUCCUGACAGGACGGACAAAAAAGCGGUGGAUGAUCUAUACUCGAAGUGGGAAGGUGCUGGGAAGACACUGCAGCAGGUCAUCCGCCUUGUGAUUGGUUCAGGGUCAUGCACGGAUGGUUGUCGCCAAUGCCAGGAUGAGAGGCGCGAGGGGAAAGACCCCAGGCUCUGCCUCCUGAAACUGCCCACAGACUGCGUAUUCAAAGCUUGCCCAGAUGAUGAGAGGGCUGGCACAGGAGAAGCUGCCUCGACUUCAACAAAGGCGGCGCAGAAGCAGAAGAGCAAGAAGAAAUCCAAGAGGACAAAGAAGCCCGACAAGGGGCGUGGCAAGAAGUGA